UACGUAGGUGGCGAGCGUUGUCCGGAUUUACUGGGCGUAAAGAGCGCGCAGGCGGUCGUGCAAGUCGCGUGUGAAAGCCCCCGGCUCAACUGGGGAGGGUCACGCGAUACUGCUCGACUCGAAGGCAGGAGAGGGAAGUGGAAUUCCCGGUGUAGUGGUGAAAUGCGUAGAUAUUGGGAGGAACACCAGUGGCGAAGGCGGUUGCCUGGAGCUUUGCUGACGCUGAGGCGCGAAAGCGUGGGGAGCGAUCCGG
rnacentral:rRNA from 1 species